CAAGUACUCCCUCCGUCCGGAAAUACUUGUCGUCAAAAUGGACACAAAUGGAUGUAUCUAGAAUUAAAAUACAUCUAGAUACAUCCAUUCCUCGGACAAGUAUUUCCGGACGGAGGGAGUACGGU
rfam:Triticum urartu cultivar G1812 contig908806, whole genome shotgun sequence.